rnacentral:rRNA from 1 species
GAUGAACGCUGGCGGCGUGCUUAACACAUGCAAGUCGAACGAAGCGACUAUGAUUGAGAUUUCGGUUGAUUGAUUAGUUGACUUAGUGGCGGACGGGUGAGUAACGCGUGGGUAACCUGCCUCGUACAGGGGGAUAACAGUUAGAAAUGACUGCUAAUACCGCAUAACCCGCUAGGGUCGCAUGACCCAGACGGAAAAGAUUUAUCGGUACGAGAUGGACCCGCGUCUGAUUAGCUAGUUGGUGAGGUAACGGCCCACCAAGGCGACGAUCAGUAGCCGGCCUGAGAGGGUGAACGGCCACAUUGGGACUGAGACACGGCCCAAAACUCCUACGGGAGGCAGCAGUGGGGAAUAUUGCACAAUGGGGGAAACCCUGAUGCAGCAACGCGCGUGAGUGAAGAAGUAUUUCGGUAUGUAAAGCUCUAUCAGCAGGGAAGAAAAUGACGGUAACCUGACUAAGAAGCCCCGGCUAACUACGUGCCAGCAGCGC